GGGACCUUGGCGCAGUUGGCUAGCGCGCAGGUCUCAUAAUCCUGAGGUCGGGAGUUCGAGCCUCCCAGGUCCCA
rnacentral:tRNA from 5 species